UCCACUGGGGCAGCAGCUGUGGCUCCUUGCCUCUGGUUGAGAACCUGUAGGAUCUGCGCUCAGAGAGCUUGGUGAAUAUAUGAUGCACACGAAAGCAGAAAGGUCCUCGAGGAACCAGAACUCAAGGCUCCAUAUAUCAGACGCUGACCAUCGAAGACUGUAGCUCAGUUCACACUGCUUGAACAGCAAGCCUAGAAUUCACUCACUUAGUUAAGUCAGAAUCAUUCAUUCAUUGGUGUGCCUCCAGGCAGGACAUGUCCAACAGAGUACCAUCUGCAGAGCUCUGGUGGAACCAGACUGAGGCCCUAACCUGAGCUCACAGGAACCUAAAGAGAACAGGCUUUAAGCCCCAAGUCUUGCAAAUCAUCUGCAGGUAUGUGUAUGCUGUAGCACAAGCAGAAGUCAAAGGACGACUUUGAGUGUCAGUCUUCACCGUCUACAGUGCCUGAGACAGGGUCUCUUCAUUGUUUACCACUACAUUUUCCAGGUCCCUGGUGCAGAAAACCCAAGCUGCCAGCUACAAAGGGAACACAUUAUGCCAAGAUUCAACACCUUUAUCUUUUUAGAACAAGAAACUAAUUUAAAGCUGUUUCUUGCAUCAUGCUAUACCCUGAGGAAGAAUCUAGGCUAAGAGGGAGAAAUGGCUAAAAUUUUCGCUGUAACUCGACUUUAAUGCCAUGGGGAUACUCAACGGCUCUGCAGCCCAGAGACAGAGAAGUCCACAUGGAGAGGAAUGGACUUGCCAGUCCCACCUCACCAACUACAUGACUCAACACUUUCAAAGUAAAUCAUCUAGUUUCUGUCAAGCCUUCAAAUGAUUCCUCAAACCACCUUGAAGACAUUGUUGAGCAGAGAAAAACCACUUCUAAUGUGCCCUGUCUGAAUGCCUGGCCUGUAAUUGAUAACCAGUAGAUACUAUACUGUACACUAUUAUAGAAAGGACGGUGUAAAAAUGAUUUUUAAAGUAAAAAUAAUAAUAUAUCAUCAGUUCAAAGUAAGAGUUAUUUCUGUAGAGGAUAGUAAACAAAAGGUAAACACAAAAAUAAUUGCUAAGGAAUUAGUAAAACUUUAAGCUUCCUUUGGAUGAUAUUCAUUAGGAUGGAUGGAUGGAUGGAUGGAUGGAUGGAUGGAUGGAUGGAUGAAUGAUACAUAGACAAAGAGACUAUUAUGGUUCAGUGAUGGUAAUUCUGUGUAUGAGUAUGUAUUUAAUUCAACUAGAUUGUGUUAACAUAACUUUAAGCACAUGUGGCCCAACAAAUAGGAACUUAACUUCAACCUAAUAAUUUUGAAGAUGCUUCCUCCCUUCAUUCAACAUGUUCUUCCAGGUUCACACCCUGAAGAAGUUCUUAUAUCAGAAGACAGGUACAAUAUGAGUAGGAGUAUUUCAUAAGAUCAAAAGUCCAACCUCAUAAAUAAGUAACUACAGAUAUAGAGCCAAAAGAAAUUCCCACAACAAUAAGAUGUUCAAGGACUUAGUGUGAAACAAAAACAACAGGAUAGAAAUCAUUACAUUUCUGUGAAGUCAGAUAGUCAAAAAUAAACAAUAUAUUGGUUAAAGUUCCCAGGUUUCUCCCUUCCUUGCUCUGCAUAUAGAAAUGCCACAUUUGUGGACUAAAUAUUCUGUGACAUCAUACCCUCAUACAAGCAGCUCUCCAACUCAUAUUCCAUGUUGAUGGGCCUAACAUGCAAUUGCACAGGGUUCAAUGAGCAAAGUGUUGGACUAAGUACCAGUAGGCAGGAUGCUGGGUGGGCCUGCAACCUCCCCCCACCCCCGGUGAAUUAUUUCCUUUCUCCUCCCAGAUGAACCCCAGGGCUAACAUGAGCUACUGUGUUUCUAAAUGGCUGUUUCCUGAAUUUCCUGAUUGGUUAAAGAAGAGGUUACAUGCCUACUCAGAGGGAAAAAAAAUACAGCAAAGACCUCUAGUGAAAUGAUAGUCAAGUAAUCUCUCCCUCUACCAUUUAUUAUUUUGUAUUCUGUUAAAAACACAGCACAUAUUGUUGGGUCUGGUAUAUCAUUAAAUGGUUAGAUUUACAACAUCUUAAUGUUAAAUCUAAACCUUGGUAUCUUACAGGACAGAUCUAUAUAUUUAUUACCAAGAAGUAGUUAUUCCAGAAGACCUAAUUGGGUGCCUGCACUCAUUAUUUUUCUUGUUGCCGUGGAAAAUGCCUGAUAAAAGCAACUGAAGGGAAGAAGGCUCAUACUGGCUCCGUUUUAGGAUGUACACAGCAAGGAAGUGUAGCAUGGGGCAUGUACAGUAGCUGGUCACAUCAUAUCUACAGUCAGACAGAGAGCAGAGAGCUUUAAAUGCUUGUACUUAGUGGCCUUCAAUUUUUCCCCCUUUUUCCUUUUUUAUUCAUGCUGGGGCACUGUCCAUAGGAUAAUGGUACCCACAUUCAGGGUGGAUGUCCCCUUCUCAGUUAAACCUCUCUGGAAAAACCCUAGCAAAUAUGGUCAGCGGUGUGUCUCCCAGGUGAUUCCAAGCCCAGUCAAGUGGAACGUGAACGCCAAUCACCACAGUGCCUCAGUUGCUCCUGCUUCAGAACCACAUGAUCCCAUCCAACUAUGAGAAGCUGACAAAGGGGUGUGGGGAACAAAUGCAAACAAACAAACAAAACUACCUUGAAAUUCAUCAACUACCAGUAAAGACAAAUCACAGGGAGAAGUCACCGAUUGAGGAUGUUUUCUGCAAGAGGCAGAAAUGGAUGGCGAUUUUCACAAGAACCUGGGCAGGCGACAGCUCCUUCUCUUCCCUGACAUCCUUGCUGUGUCUUCAGCACUCAGGGAAGGACUGCUUGGGCUACUCUGCUAUAUAAG